rnacentral:rRNA from 1 species
UACGUAGGGUGCAAGCGUUAAUCGGAAUUACUGGGCGUAAAGCGUGCGCAGGCGGUUUUGUAAGUCUGUCGUGAAAUCCCCGGGCUCAACCUGGGAAUUGCGAUGGAGACUGCAAGGCUAGAAUCUGGCAGAGGGGGGUAGAAUUCCACGUGUAGCAGUGAAAUGCGUAGAGAUGUGGAGGAAUACCGAUGGCGAAGGCAGCCCCCUGGGCCAAUACUGACGCUCAUGCACGAAAGCGUGGGGAGCAAACAGGG